rnacentral:rRNA from 1 species
UACAGAGGGCUCAAGCGUUGUUCGGAUUCAUUGUGCGUAAAGGGUGCGUAGGCGGCGCGGUAAGUCGGGUGUGAAAUCUUGGAGCUUAACUCCGAAACUGCAUUCGAUACUGCCGUGCUUGAGGACUGGAGAGGAGACUGGAAUUCAUGGUGUAGCAGUGAAAUGCGUAGAUAUCAGGAGGAACACCAAGUGCGAAGGCAGCUCGCUGGGACGUUACUGACGCUGAGACGCGAAAGCGUGGGGAGCAAACAGG